UGGGUUUUUAAUAUUUAAUUUUUUUGCCAUUUUUUCAGCUAAUAACUAUUGAUAAUACUCAUUCUUUUUCUUAUGAAUUUUACUUUGUACUUCAAUUAAAUAAAUGAUCCUGGAGUUGCAAUUGUUGCAUAAAAUGGUGGGUGUUUGGGGCAAUGUUGAAUCUUCCUAUGUCUUGCUCUAUUGCUGUGUUAGCGUAUGAGUCCGUUUUUGGUUUUUAAUACAUUCUGUUGGAUCGUAAUGAUUGAACUAAUUGGUUCUGAUGUUUCUGGACUAUAGAAUCGCGCAACUUUGAUAGUCGGGAGAUUCAUUCAAUUGAAUUCACAGACAAUGAAAACAUUGUAGUUUAUUGUUUUUGUAGAAGCUAUGAAGUAUUAGGUUUUAUUGAAUAAUACUGAAGGCAGAAUACAUCUUUAAAUAUACAGAGGUCUAACAACUUAAAACCAACUAAGAGAAUAAACUGCAGAGAAAUAGCUAACAAACCUUUGGAAUAGGACUAAGCAAAGACUAAAUAACUGAUUCUAUACAAUGAUUGAUAAAAUCUAACAAGCUAACUAGUUUGACUUGGUAUACGUUCCACAGUUUUUACUGUUGCCAAGCAGGGUCAGGGGUGAGUCACUCUAGCUUGUUGAAUUUUCUCCGUUGUAUUCAUACAUUUCAUUGUGAGAAGAGAAACAAACAAAAUCAAUGUGUAGGAGCACAAAAAUUUUAGUUUGCACAGUCUUUAUUUAUCACUAUUAAACUUUAACUUUGAAAUUCAACUACUUCAUGAUAUUGAGCUGCAAAUUCAUCUAUAAUGUAAUGGCUAGGUUAGUAAAUUGGCACUGAUUUCAGAUUGAAUGAGGAUGACAUUGCAGAAAUGUGUCUGUUGGUGCCCUGUUUGUGUUUAUUUUGGUAGCUAAUUUUAGUCCUUAUCAUCAUCAACUAUCUAGGUGAGGCAUUUCAGAUAUCAUUUAUUUUGAGGCAUUGAUUAUCUGGUUGAAGGGACCAGUUAUUAAACUAGUGAAACUAGAAAAGAUGAUGUUCUCUAAGUAACAUUUUCUUGUCCAAAAUUAAUCGGCCUAUUUCAAAACAUAGGUCGUAGGUCGUGGUGUGCCAGGACAAGGGAAAAAAGGCAGCCUAAACCUAAGGUCUCUAAUAUUGUUUAGGUGAUAUGAUCAGGUCCUGUUCUGUAAUAACUGUAUUAAUGCUGCUAGAACCUGCUACUGUAUACACUGUUUUUUGCCUUACCGCUUGGCCUGGGUUAUUAGCAGAACUUCGCUUGGCUAUUGGCGUGAGUUGAUAGGAGAAUUUUGCUUGGCUGUUGGCGUGAGUUGAUAGGAGAAUUUUGCUUGGCUAUUGUGACUUUGUUAUAUUUUGCAUUUGGGGACGUUAACUGAAAGUAAAAAUACGAUGCACCCUCUCUCAGUUCAGUUUCUAAUUGCAAGGAAGCUUUCAGUUUCUAAUUUCAAGCAAAAUGGGAGAAAUAGCUGGAACUUUAGUUCAUGUAGAAAAUGGACUAAAGUUUGACCGUCGUCUUUCUUUUAUAACUAAAUCUGUAAUUGUCUUUAUCAUGUAAGAUGUAGAAAGAUUAUAUUGUUUUUAUGUUUAUAAAACUAGCGUACCUAAUUAAUUGGCAUAUAGGUCACUCUGUUCAUUUUGAAAAAUACUAAUGUUGGUCAGAUCAGGUGGAAAUUUUGGAACUGAAACUGGAGCCUUUUUUAUUUUUCAAAUAAGAUUAAAGUAGCAAAAAUUAGUUGCUUGGUAUUUGGCAUUGUUUGAGUAGAGCAUAUACUUCACCGCGGUUAGUCUUGUCUUUUGUAUAUACUAGGCAAGAUAGAGUGGUAUUUAAUUGUUCCUAAACCUUAUGUUUUCCUUACGCGCUACAUCAAGGCCUGGAUUCCCGGCAAUGAAAUGUAGAACAUGCUCUGAUGAAUCAAGUUCCAUUUCCUUUUGUCCAUCAAUGGUUACUGCCUCGGCUGUCUAUUGUACAAGACUUAGUGCACUGAACUUUUUUGUAUAAUUUGCCAUUGCUCAAAACUUUUGAAGAUUAUGUUCAAGUAUUCCUCUAUGCAUUGAAUAGUAAAUGUUCUGACAUCUUUGAGUUCUGCAUUUACUACCUAUGUUCUGGUUCAUGAUGCAUUCGGAGAUAAUGGUGGUGGAAGAAAAGAAUCAAGUGGUGAUGCAUAGCUCCUUCAACUAUGAAGCUGAUAUUCUUGAACUUUGUAUUGAGUGGCCUUUGUUUUGAAGAUGAUAUUUAAGAAUAAUAAUAUUAUAAUAGUAGAUAGGAUGUUUUGGGUAUUAAAUUUGUGUUUAAGAUACUAGCUAGUUAAUUUAAUAGUUUGGAUAAUGGGUAAACUUAAUUUGAUGAUAUAAUUUGGAGCGAGCUAAGUAUGUAUUAUUACAUUUAGAUAUGUAUAAUAUAUAUUAGUAUCUUUAAGUUAUUA